UACGUAGGGGACAAGCGUUGUCCGGAAUUAUUGGGCGUAAAGCGCGUGUAGGCGGCCAAGUAAGUCUUACGUGAAAUCCUGAGGCUCAACCUCAGCCUGCGCGGGAUACUGCUUGGCUAGAGUCCGGAAGAGGAGAGUGGAAUUCCUGGUGUAGCGGUGGAAUGCGCAGAUAUCAGGAGGAACACCCAUGGCGAAAGGCAGGCUCGCUCG
rnacentral:rRNA from 1 species